GAUCCUGGCUCAGGAUGAACGCUGGCGGCGCGCCUAACACAUGCAAGUCGAACGGCACCCACCUCCGGGUGGAAGCGAGUGGCGAACGGCUGAGUAACACGUGGAGAACCUGCCCCCUCCCCCGGGAUAGCCGCCCGAAAGGACGGGUAAUACCGGAUACCCCGGGGUGCCGCAUGGCACCCCGGCUAAAGCCCCGACGGGAGGGGAUGGCUCCGCGGCCCAUCAGGUAGACGGCGGGGUGACGGCCCACCGUGCCGACAACGGGUAGCCGGGUUGAGAG
rnacentral:rRNA from 1 species